UUAGCUCUUGUUAUCUUCAAUUUGAGAUGAAAUUGAGAUUCAUCCUCAAUCACCACGGACUGAGAAUCACGCGUUCACAAGAGAUCCUGCGUGUUAGGCAUGCCGUAGCUACUAUAUUGAUCUACCUGUCUGAGGGCUAUAUCGGUCCGCGUGUUUGGUGCAGUACCUUCUAGUCCAGCGCGGGAUCAACGUUUUACCCUGCUUCUCAUCUAUCGUGAUCACGUUUCCCUAAAACACACAAUACAUAGUUUAAUGUAUCGCAUCCAUCGACAUCUGUGAAUUAUUUUGAUCUUUGAAUUAUUUUAUCCACUUUAUAACAUUAACGUCACCUUAGACGAUCUCUUCAGAUCCGAAAUUGAGAUUGAAAUUGAAAUCGAGUUGAAAAAUCAUAAGGGAUAGAAAGAAGAGAAAGAUGAAUUUUUUUAAUUUCCAUUUAGAAUUUAGAAUGGACCUUGGCACAGAUAUUGGAUAUUGCAAUGUUGGAUUCUUUUGAAUAGAGAGACUGUGCGCGUGUUUUUCUCGAUAUUAUUCAUCGGUGAUUCUGGUCACUGAGGAUCACGUUGAAAGUGAGAAUUGUUUGUCAAUUUUAUCUGAACAGAAUCGAUCGACGUCACUAUUGGUUGUUUCGGCUGAUUUCCGGAACUUUUCCUGAGGGAUAUUAGGUCAUCCAAUAAAUAAUGAGAUUGUUUGGGAGGAUGGUUAAAGAUUUGCGGACUGUGACGUUUCGAUGAGAAAAUGCCACGAUGCUGCGGCGCAUCUUUGGUUUCCGUCAUGGACGGCGACGGGUCUCCGCAGAGUCUCGGUUUGCAGAUUCAGGACGGCAAUCCCCGAAAUAAAACCGCGCUAGCACCCGGCCACAGUUUGAUGGACUGGAUCCGAUUAGGCAAUUCUGGAGUCGAUCUAACCGGCGUUGGUGGUGUUCCACGGAUCGUAACAUUAUCCGAGUUGGCCAGUCAUAAUAAGCAAAACGAUGCUUGGAUCGCGAUUCGAGGAAUCGUGUUCAACGUGACACGUUACAUGGAUUUCCAUCCAGGAGGUAUAAGCGAAUUGAUGAGAGGGGUCGGCAAAGACGCGACCAAACUGUUCGAAAGCGUGCACGCUUGGGUCAACUAUCAGAGCAUCCUUCAGAAAUGCGUGGUGGGAAGGCUGAGCCGUGGCUCGAUGACCGGUUCCUCCUCGUCCUCGAUGGAAAACCCUGUCUCGGCCACCACCAAUUGUUCAUCGACGGCGCAGAACCUGAUAACGACAAGUUGCACGACUCAUAGUACCAGUCAAGAAAACGUGUCAGACGGUGAUUUGUCGAAUAUAAAAAUGGAUUGGAGGCAGACAUCCAACACGAUCACGUUAUUUUACCAAACUGUUCGAGAUUAUCCUGGUGUGAGCUAUCAAUUAAGUAGGAUAAGCGACUCGAAGUUGAUAUUCAAAUUAUUUUUCGAGAAGGACAUAAUAACGCAUCAGCUGGAACUGACAGCGGAAAUAAAAUGGCCGCCGAUGUGCACCAAAAAUUUCGACACGAUGGAGGUCGAUUUUACAUUUACGAAACAGAAGAAAGAGAUAUGGAAAUCUCAAGGUAGUCAAACGAUAUCCAGGGAGACAAAUACGAAUAAUCGAAUUUACAAAGAAUACGAAGUUGUUACGAAUAAACCUCUUUCCAAAUUAGUUCACCUAUUGGUCGUUCGAGCGAAAAACUUUUUGCAAAUGGUGCCCAUUGGCAGACACGUAGAAGCCAAGAUGAACGUCAUGGGGAUGGAAGUAUCACGAUCGUACACGCCUGUCUCACCGUGCCUUCACCCUGACGACAUAGCGCCGAAUUACAAAUCCGAUUGUCUGUGUUUAAUGAUCAAAAGAUAUCCCCAAGGUGCUCUCAGUCCGUCCAUAACCGCUCUUCAGAUUGGCCAAACCUUCCUCUUGAGCAAUGCUUUAGGUGCCUUUGUAAUAGAAUCCUUCGAUCGUUAUUCUGUCAUUCACAUGCUCGCGGGUGGCACCGGUUUGACAGCGAUGCUUGGCAUCAUUCAACGAGCUUUGGCCAGACGCAGCGUGAAGACUAUAAAUUUACUUAACUUCAAUAAAAAUGAAGAUAGUAUGUUUUACGUGGCGGAGUUAGAAAAGGCUAGUGCAGAUAAAAAAUUAAAAGUCACACAUAUCCUUUCGCAAGCCGAAAGCACAUGGACGGGUAGACGUGGCACGAUAUCCGAUGAUUUAUUAAAGGAAUUAGUCGCAGAAACUUCCCCUGACGCGUGUGUUUUUACCUGUGGACCUCCAGGAUUCAUACAAUCCGCGAAAAAAUCUCUUCAAAAACUUGACUGGAAACCCUACCAAAUGUACGAAUUUGACGAUUAAGUGCACUCAUCGAGAAUAUAUCUCUCUCUUUUGAUACCAAAUGUCGAAACAUUUAACGCAUGAUGGAAACAUUGGUAUUCUUUGAGAAAAAUAAUUACGUAUCAUGUUGUCGAAUUUUUAAAAAGAAUCUUUUGGAUACUUUUACUCCUAUUUCCGCCCACAGCCUCAGUAUCGUGCAUAACUGAUGUCUUCCUUUUGUGUAAUUUCUUCGUUUUAAUUUUGUUAAAUUACAAGAUUAUGCCAAAUGCGCAACAAUUGAGAAAUAAAGUUCUAUUUAAUGCAAAUGCUCACUUUUUGUAUUAUAUUUACAAAAUUCGAAAAAAAAAAGAGAAAAACGAGAAAAAUAAAUAAGAAAAAAAAUAGGAGUAAGAGUCACAGAUGAAAGUCUUUGGAUUCUAUGGGACGAACUGUGUGUAUAAGCGUCCAUGAAUGUACUUUCUAUAUGAAAACAAAUUAUUUUUACAAAUGUCUUUUAAUCUAUCAUCCAGAGAACUGUAUUUUGAACGAUUUAUCCGAAAAUAUUCACAAAUAUCUUCGGACGUAAACCAAUUCGAAACGAUCAUGGUGCUAUUUUUUAAUCCCUUCGUGCUCGAUUUUACGUAUAAGAUACAUUCACAUACUUGAUACUUUAAUAGUGGAACUAUCAAAUCCAUUAAAAGAUAAAAAUAUAAUUAUAUAUAUAUAUAAAGAAACAAAAAAAAAAUUAGAUCAUGAAAUGGUUAAAUAAAUAUAUAUUUCUUAAUUAUAUUCGAGAAAACUUAUCUUUAUUCAUUCUUUACGAAAAAGGUAAAGAUUAAAGAUAUUUAAUUUCUAUGUAAAAAAUUAGAAUGAUAAUUAAAAAAAAUUCCUUUCCUUUUGAAAUAAAUUGUGUGCCAAAGAGAGGCCUUAGAACUCUGAAUGAAUUCAUGUAACCAAUAAUAUGGCCUAAUCACGAUAUUAAGUCUUAUUAAUCAUUUAUUAGAUCUUAAUUGAUUUAAAAUUUAUAGACAGGUAAAAAAAUAUCAAUAAUAAUUCAUUAAAAUUUUUAAUUUGAUCGAAUAUCAAUACAACACAAAUAAUAUUGUUCAAUACUUUUAACUGAAUCUAUCUAGUUUCUAUUCUAGUUUCUAAAAAUAACUUUAUAAAAUAAUUUCUAAAUUUCGAUCUUCGAUCU